GGUUGUAUAGUGUAGCGGUUAUCACCUUGGAUUCUGAAGCACCUACUUCGAUUUCCAGUAACCCCGGUUCGAUUCCGGGUACGACCU
rfam:Yarrowia lipolytica CLIB122 chromosome E complete sequence